UACGUAGGGAGCAAGCGUUGUUCGGAUUUACUGGGCGUAAAGGGCGCGUAGGCGGCAAUUCAAGUCAGCUGUGAAAUCUCCGGGCUUAACUCGGAACGGUCAGCUGAUACUGCUUUGCUAGAGUGCGGAAGGGGCAAUCGGAAUUCUCGGUGUAGCGGUGAAAUGCGUAGAUAUGCCAUAGAACACCAAUUGCGAAGGCAGCUGGCUACGCAUAUAUUGACACUGAGGCUCGAAAGCGUGGGGAUCAAACAGG
rnacentral:rRNA from 1 species